rnacentral:rRNA from 1 species
UGAGGAAUAUUGGUCAAUGGACGCAGGUCUGAACCAGCCAAGUAGCGUGCAGGAUGACGGCCCUAUGGGUUGUAAACUGCUUUUAUGCGGGGAUAAAGUGAGGGACGUGUCCCUUUUGUAGGUACCGCAUGAAUAAGGACCGGCUAAUUCCGUGCCAGCAGCCGCGGUAAUACGGAAGGUCCGGGCGUUAUCCGGAUUUAUUGGGUUUAAAGGGAGCGUAGGCCGUCGUUUAAGCGUGUUGUGAAAUGUAGGGGCUCAACCUCUGAACUGCAGCGCGAACUGACGGUCUUGAGUGCGCACAACGUUGGCGGAAUUCGUCGUGUAGCGGUGAAAUGCUUAGAUAUGACGAAGAACUCCGAUUGCGAAGGCAGCUGACGGGAGCGUUACUGACGCUUAAGCUCGAAAGUGCGGGUAUCGAACAGGAUUAGAUACCCUGGUAGU